UUUCCGUAGGUGAACCUGCGGAAGGAUCAUUGUAGGAUUGUUUUGGGAGGGGUGGCUGUGAUUUGUGGGGAUUGUGUGUGGUUGUUUGGAUUGCUUGGAUUGCCUGGCUGUCUGCAACUCGACUCGUCUCAUCACAACCACUCUUUACAUUGGCACAGACCAGUGGUCUGGUGUUUGGAGCAACAGACCAGUGGUGUCUGAUGUUUGCGCUUGCUCGUUUGACAGAAACAGUACCAUAUCAUUGCAAAACUUUUAACAAUGGAUCUCUUGGCUCUU
rnacentral:misc_RNA from 1 species